GACGAACCGUGCGAACGUUGUUCGGAAUCACUGGGCUUAAAGGGCGCGUAGGCGGGUCAGCAAGUCCGGGGUGAAAUCUUUCGGCUCAACCGGAAAAGUGCCUUGGAUACUGCUGGUCUUGAGGGAGGUAGGGGUUUGUGGAACUUCUGGUGGAGCGGUGAAAUGACGUUGAUAUCAGAAGGAACGCCGGUGGCGAAAGCGACGAACUGGACCUCUCUGACGCUGAUGCGCGAAAGCCAGGGGAGCCAAAGCGGGAUUAAGAUGACCCGAGUAG
rnacentral:rRNA from 1 species